UGAAUGCAUUAAUGUAAGUCGCUCUGGAUAAGAGCGUCUGCUAAAUGACAAUGA
rfam:Salmo salar isolate Sally breed double haploid chromosome ssa20, whole genome shotgun sequence.